CAGCCGCCGCGGGAAUACGAAGGGUGCAAGCGUUACUCGGAAUUACUGGGCGUAAAGCGUGCGUAGGUGGUGGUUUAAGUCCGUUGUGAAAGCCCUGGGCUCAACCUGGGAAUUGCAGUGGAUACUGGGUCUCUAGAGUGUGGUAGAGGAUAGUGGAAUUUCCGGUGUAGCAGUGAAAUGCGUAGAGAUCGGAAGGAACAUCUGUGGCGAAGGCGACUAUCUGGGCCAACACUGACACUGAGGCACGAAAGCGUGGGGAGCAAACAGGAUUAGAUACCCCCGUAGUCCCUGUCUCUUAUAC
rnacentral:rRNA from 1 species